rfam:Deltaproteobacteria bacterium RBG_13_47_9 RBG_13_scaffold_16949, whole genome shotgun sequence.
GAGGGUAGACCCCUCGGAGCCGACUUACAGGGACAGGCUCCAAACCACCUUAAGCUGCUUCCCGUAAAGGCGGGAGGUGGUGAGCGUUGAAGGAAAAGACAUAGCUAAGACCAUGUCAGGU